UACGUAGGGUGCAAGCGUUGUCCGGAAUUAUUGGGCGUAAAGAGCUCGUAGGCGGUUUGUCGCGUCUGCUGUGAAAACUCGGGGCUUAACCCCGGGCCUGCAGUGGGUACGGGCAGACGUAGAGUGCGGUAGGGGAGACUGGAAUUCCUGGUGUAGCGGUGAAAUGCGCAGAUAUCAGGAGGAACACCGGUGGCGAAGGCGGGUCUCUGGGCCGAUACUGACGCUGAGGAGCGAAAGCGUGGGGAGCAAACAGG
rnacentral:rRNA from 1 species